CAGUUAGCGCUAAAUAGUACGAAAUCCACAGUGACUAAAUACUCACCAACAGAAUUAAUGUUCGGGAUUCGCGCACAAUCAUUGGGUAUGUCUAAAAUUUCUAUCGCACAAUCGGACGAGGAGAUUAAAAGGUUAGAUUUAGAAUCCGUUAGAGAGAAUGCGUCAAAUAAUAUCGAAAAGGCUGCAUUAGCAGACACUCGUCGGUUUAAUCGUGGUCGCGCUAAUAUCAAACCAUUCACCAAGGGUGACUUUGUUUUUCUCAAAACCGGUGAACGAAACCAAACUAAAUUAGACAAGAAGUUUAAAGGGCCAUUCAUAAUAACAUCGGUAUUAGAAAAUGAUCGCUACGAACUGAAAAAUAUUAACGGUUCAAAUCGCGUUUACAAAUAUGCUCAUGAGAACUUGCGUCCAGUACCUAAGGGACAUACCGGUUUACUUGAAAUCACUGACAGCCUAUUGAAUGAAGAGGAGACCGUGUCGGCGUCGGAUGAAUUGACACAAAACUGUAAUGAUUUCGGUGAUACUCCAAAUUUCGGGGAUAUGUUGCGUGCAGACUCGGUCACUGCUUCAGCUGAUUCUGAAACGCUCACUGCGUGGUCAGAUACGCUUAGCCUCUAUGACUCUGACACCUUAGAUGUACAAUAUGAAGUCGAAGUUCAUACUGAGCAGGAUCGUCCAUAACAGAAAGGACGCCAUUAAACUACUACGUCCGAGGACGGACGAUUGUCAGUCUGGCCGUGUCGGCGCCGCCGUAGAGAAUAUGAGAAUACGUCGGAUUAGAGUGACAGCUGAGGAAGUGUCACUCUGACGGAGCGUCAAGUUGGGAGCAGCGCGGGAACUUUGACAUAAAGAAAAAGGCCCGCGCGCCCUCACCAGGCGAAUCGUCUCAAUUCGACGUCGUAAUUUAGUUUAUUGUUUGUUUAUCACCAUAAUUGUUAUUUCUUACUAUAAAGUGUACUCAAGACAG